rnacentral:rRNA from 1 species
UUCGCAAUGCCCGAAAGGGUGACGAAGCGACGCCGCGUGUGGGAAGAAGGCCUUCGGGUUGUAAACCACUGUCGGGAGUUAAGAAAUGCAAGGGUGUUAAUAGCGCCCUUGCUUGACUAAGGCUCCGGAGGAAGCCACGGCUAACUCUGUGCCAGCAGCCGCGGUAAUACAGAGGCGGCAAGCGUUGUUCGGAAUUAUUGGGCGUAAAGAGCACGUAGGCGGCCUUGUAAGUCAGUUGUGAAAGCCUUCUGCUCAACGGAAGAACAGCAUCUGAUACUGCAAGGCUAGAGUGCGGAAGGGGAGAGUGGAACUUCUGGUGGAGCGGUGAAAUGCGUAGAUAUCAGAAGGAACGCCGGCGGCGAAAGCGGCUCUCUGGCCCGUAACUGACGCUGAGUGUGCGAAAGCUAGGGGAGCAAACGGGAUUAGAUACCCCGGUAGUCCUAGCCGUAAACGAUGGGCACUAAGUAGAGGGGUUUU